UACGAAGGGGGCUAGCGUUGUUCGGAAUUACUGGGCGUAAAGCGCACGUAGGCGGACAUUUAAGUUGGAGGUGAAAGCCUUGGGCUCAACCCAAGAAUUGCCUUUGAUACUGGAUGUCUCGAGACCGGGAGAGGUGAGUGGAAUUCCUGGUGUAGCGGUGAAAUGCGUAGAUAUCAGGAGGAACACCGGUGGUGUAGACGGCUUUCUGGACCGUAACUGACGCUGAGACACGAAAGCGUGGGUAGCAAACAGG
rnacentral:rRNA from 1 species